rnacentral:rRNA from 1 species
GACGAACGCUGGCGGCGUGCUUAACACAUGCAAGUCGAACGGAAAGGCCCUGCUUUUGUGGGGUGCUCGAGUGGCGAACGGGUGAGUAACACGUGAGUAACCUGCCCUUGACUUUGGGAUAACUUCAGGAAACUGGGGCUAAUACCGGAUAGGAGCUCCUGCUGCAUGGUGGGGGUUGGAAAGUUUCGGCGGUUGGGGAUGGACUCGCGGCUUAUCAGCUUGUUGGUGGGGUAGUGGCUUACCAAGGCUUUGACGGGUAGCCGGCCUGAGAGGGUGACCGGCCACCUUGGGACUGAGAUACGGCCCAGACUCCUAUGGGAGGCAGCAGUGGGGAAUAUUGCACAAUGGGCGGAAGCCUGAUGCAGCAACGCCGCGUGCGGGAUGACGGCCUUCUGGUUGUAAACCGCUUUCGCCUGUGACGAAGCGUGAGUGACGGUAAUGGGUAAAGAAGCACCGGCUAACUACGUG